rnacentral:lncRNA from 1 species
AACCCACCUCCAUCUCUCAUAAUCUCGGCUCAAACACCCCUCUUUAACCUUCAAUUCUUUAACCAAAAUCAACUAUUUUCUAGUGCUUCUACAUGGAUUUCAAGGGUGCUUGAAGUGUAGCAAGUCUUGGGGAACAUUUGGAGCUUAUUCUUGGCAUCUAGGAGCUUGCCUUCUUGAUCUUCUUCAUCUAGUUCAUCUACUAGAUUCUAGCAAAAUUGUUGAUUAGUCAUGAGAUUUAUGAUGAUCAUGUUGACUCGCAUUUACGGAACACGUUGCUAGGAUAUCUCUCUCAGGAACGCAAAACAGAAACAAGAUGGAUCUUGGGCGCGGGUGUUGUUUUCAAGAUGUAAAUUUCAAGUUUAGGUGUCAUCCACUUUAGUUUGUUUGUAACUUAACUGGAGGUCAUGUUGAU